UGCCAGCGCCUAGGCCGCGGGUCUUGGUCGGGGUGUUGACUGAUACAAAGAUGAUGUCAGCCUCAGCGACGUGCUUCUCGACUUCGGUGCUGAAGAAGAGGUUCCGCCCUCGGCACUCCUUAACGACAUCGUCGAGGCCUGGCUCGUAGAUGGGGAGCUGUUCACUGUUCCAUGCGGUGAUGCGGGCGACGGAGAUGUCGACAACCACCACUUCUAUGUUAGGACAUUUGAGGGCAAUAACGGCCAUGGUUGGCCCGCCAACAUAGCCAGCUCCAAUGCAGCAGAUCUUCACCAUAUUUGCCUUGUGAGAUCCUGGCCGAGGAUGUGAAGGGG
rnacentral:misc_RNA from 1 species